AUGUGCACCACCGAGAGCGGCGACGUCCUCGGCCUCACCAUCUGGGCGCUCCUCUCCUACUUCACCGUCCACCUCCCCGGCCUCCUCCCUGCCACCCCGCUCGAUCGUCUGCCCCGCGUCCUCCGCACCCACGGCGACGUCGCCCUCCUCCGCAUCCCCGUCGGCCCGAAAGGCAACGACUACUUUCUCUACAGCGCCAGCGCCCGCUUCAGCAUGGUCAUGCCCCUCCCCACCUGCCCGCUCACCGACGGUUCUAUCGGCCUUCUGCGCUGCCCGGGCCAAGACAGGCUCUUUCUCGCCGUUCUCCACAAGACCUUGGCCCGGGGGUACUACGCCGUCGACCUGUUGGAGUUCGACCACGGGUCGUGGACCUGGAGCACUCGUCUGAUGCAUGCCAAGUCGCCUCAGGAAUGUGACUUUGGCAUCCCGACCAAGUCCUUCGCCCUCCCGGGCUCGAUCUGCUGGGUCGACCAUAAGAAGAGAAUUGCAAGCUAUGAUCGGGAUGUUGCUGUCGGCUCGGAUGGCUGCAUCAGAUACAUGGAGGUGUGGGCUCAUCCCGUGCCUGGAUCAGACAAUGGCGUCACCUACACUCCGCAGGACUGGGGCGCCGCCAUAGAAAGAUGGCUGGAGCCCGAUAAGAAGUGGAUAAUCAGCCAUGAGCUCAAGGCAUCACAGAUUGCGGUGGACGACAGCCACUCUGGGUUGCUUCCUCGUGUCGAGGCUGCAAUGGAGAGUCCAAUCUUGAGUAGACUCCACGCAGGGCAUCCUGCUCUCAGCUUGCAUGACGAUGAUGUUGUUUACAUCAUGGCCAAGGUUGACCACAGGGACGAACAGUCGUGGAUGCUCUUGACAUGA
rnacentral:rRNA from 1 species